rnacentral:rRNA from 1 species
UACGGAGGGUGCAAGCGUUAUCCGGAUUCACUGGGUUUAAAGGGUGCGUAGGUGGUUUUGUAAGUCAGUGGUGAAAGCCCGGAGCUUAACUCCGGAACUGCCAUUGAUACUGCUUAACUCGAAUCAAGUAGAGGUGGAUGGAAUAUUACAUGUAGCGGUGAAAUGCUUAGAUAUGUAAUAGAACACCGAUUGCGAAGGCAGUUCACUAUGCUUGUAUUGACACUGAGGCACGAAAGCGUGGGGAUCAAACAGG